rnacentral:rRNA from 1 species
UGCGUAGGCGGUUUGUUAAGUCAGAUGUGAAAGCCCCGGGCUCAACCUGGGAACUGCAUUUGAUACUGGCAGGCUAGAGUGCGGUAGAGGGUGGUGGAAUUCCCGGUGUAGCGGUGAAAUGCGUAGAGAUCGGGAGGAACAUCCGUGGCGAAGGCGGCCACCUGGACCAGUACUGACGCUGAGGCACGAAAGCGUGGGGAGCAAACA